AAUGCACCAAUUUGUAAGUCGCUCUGGAUACGAGCGUCUGCUAAAUGACUUAAA
rfam:Salmo salar isolate Sally breed double haploid chromosome ssa17, whole genome shotgun sequence.